UAGGGAAUCUCCACAAUGGGCGAAAGCCUGAUGGAGCAACGCCGCGUGUGUGAUGAAGGGUUUCGGCUCGUAAAACACUGUUGUAAGAGAAGAAUGACAUUGAGAGUAACUGUUCAAUGUGUGACGGUAUCUUACCAGAAAGGAACGGCUAAAUACGUGCCAG
rnacentral:rRNA from 1 species